UAGUCCACGCCGUAAACGAUGGAUACUAGGUGUCCGGGAUAUUAACCUCCUGGGUACUACAGUUAACGCGUUAAGUAUCCCGCCUGGGGAGUACGGUCGCAAGGCUAAAACUCAAAUGAAUUGACGGGGGCCCGCACAAGCGGUGGAGCAUGUGGUUUAAUUCGAUGCAACGCGAAGAACCUUACCAGGUCUUGACAUCCUGCGAAUUUUCUAGAGAUAGAUUAGUGCCUUCGGGAACGCAGUGACAGGUGCUGCAUGGCUGUCGUCAGCUCGUGUCGUGAGAUGUUGGGUUAAGUCCCGUAACGAGCGCAACCCUUGUCCUUAGUUGCCAGCACAUAAUGGUGGGAACUCUAAGGAGACUGCCGGUGACAAACCGGAGGAAGGUGGGGACGACGUCAAAUCAUCAUGGCCCUUACGACCUGGGCUACACACGUGUUACAAUGGAACGCACAGAGGGCAGCAAACCCGCGAGGGGGAGCGAAUCCCACAAAACGUUUCGUAGUCCGGAAUGGAGUCUGCAACUCGA
rnacentral:rRNA from 1 species